UACGUAGGGGGCAAGCGUUGUCCGGAAUCAUUGGGCGUAAAGAGCGUGUAGGCGGCUUGGUAAGUCCGCUGUGAAAGUCCAGGGCUCAACCCUGGAAUGCCGGUGGAAACUGUCAAGCUUGAGUCCGGAAGAGGCGAGUGGAAUUCCUGGUGUAGCGGUGAAAUGCGCAGAUAUCAGGAGGAACACCAAUGGCGAAGGCAGCUCGCUGGGACGGUACUGACGCUGAGACGUGAAAGCGUGGGGAGCAAACAGG
rnacentral:rRNA from 1 species